UACGGGGGGGGCAAGCGUUGUUCGGAAUUACUGGGCGUAAAGGGUGUGUAGGUGGCGCCGUAAGUCGGGUGUGAAAUUUCGGAGCUUAACUCCGAAACUGCAUUCGAUACUGCGGUGCUUGAGGACUGGAGAGGAGACUGGAAUUCAUGGUGUAGCAGUGAAAUGCGUAGAGAUCAUGAGGAAGACCAGUGGCGAAGGCGGGUCUCUGGACAGUUCCUGACACUGAGACACGAAGGCCAGGGGAGCAAACGGG
rnacentral:rRNA from 1 species